CUACGUGCCAGCAGCCGCGGUAAUACGGAAGGUCCAGGCGUUAUCCGGAUUUAUUGGGUUUAAAGGGAGCGUAGGCGGAUUGUUAAGUCAGCGGUUAAAGGGUGUGGCUCAACCAUACAUUGCCGUUGAAACUGGCGAUCUUGAGUGCAGACAGGGAUGCCGGAAUUCGUGGUGUAGCGGUGAAAUGCUUAGAUAUCACGAAGAACUCCGAUCGCGAAGGCAGGUGUCCGGGCUGCAACUGACGCUGAGGCUCGAAAGUGUGGGUAUCAAACAGGAUUAGAUACCCUGGUAGUCCACACAGUAAACGAUGUAUACUCGCGGUUUGCGAUAGAGUGUAAGCCGCCAAGCGAAAGCAUUAAGUAUACCACCUGGGGAGUACGCCGGCAACGGUGAAACUCAAAGGAAUUGACGGGGGCCCGCACAAGCGGAGGAACAUGUGGUUUAAUUCGAUGAUACGCGAGGAACCUUACCCGGGCUUGAAUUGCAGAGGAAGGAUUUAGAGAUA
rnacentral:rRNA from 1 species